rnacentral:lncRNA from 1 species
GUUCGGGGCCUUGAAACAGUGAGCUGUCUUUGUUCGAAAUACAGGUGAACGGCAAUCAUGUGAUUAACACACACACACACAUAAAAAGCUUUUUAACAGCGCCCGCCUGGCCUCAGAACUGCCCGGAGAGAAGCCGCCUUGGAUGGACAGAGGGACGGAGCAGCAAGCAUCCGGCUUCCCCGGCUCCCCUGCAGCGGUCUCCAACUGCUGUCUGCCCGCUGCCCGCCUGCCUGGCAUCUCUCUCCCGGUGCUAGCUGCAUUCCUGGCCUGGGAGCAGGGAGCCUGUCUGACCCCUGUGUCACACUGGAUGGUUUUACAGAGGUGCCCCACCUGAUGCUGGAUGGAAGUCAUCACCCUACAGUGUGGGUAUCAAGGGGGAACAAGGGGGCUAGGAAGCUCCAGAGGGAUUAGGUGGUCUCCAGUCACUCCCCUCUGUGUGAACCCUGCUGCUCUUCCACUCUGGAGCUGGAAAGCUGUCAGCUGCCACGCCAUGGUGCCAAGCACAUAGUAGGACUUCAAGCAUGUUUGCCCUGUACUUGUCUGCUCUUGGCUGACUUCAAAGCCUUGUCCCCCAACUACCCACAUGGCCACCUUACUCAACAGAAAUAUUCCUGUGAUAGAGACAGAAGGGCCCCCUGUUGGUCUGGAGGGUAUGGGGGGCAUUGAUCUCCCCACUAUCCAAACCAAA